CCGACCGGAUAUUAAAAAAAGCAAAUCUCAUGCAUUAUUCAGCCUUCUGAAUCCCUGGAGUAAUGAAGGCUGCUUUUUUCGUUACACCCUUCCCCGGCUGCGCCGGUGGCAGUGUUCAGCCCUUUUUCGGGCAAACUGCUGCCAGUCUGUCCGGGGCGCAACACCGGCAGCCCGUCGCCAUGCUU
rfam:Escherichia coli strain 2009C-3133 plasmid unnamed2, complete sequence.